AUUGAACGCUGGCGGCAUGCCUUACACAUGCAAGUCGAACGGCAGCAUGAUCUAGCUUGCUAGAUUGAUGGCGAGUGGCGAACGGGUGAGUAAUACAUCGGAACGUGCCCUGUAGUGGGGGAUAACUAGUCGAAAGAUUAGCUAAUACCGCAUACGACCUGAUGGUGAAAGUGGGGGACCGCAAGGCCUCAUGCUAUAGGAGCGGCCGAUGUGUUCUUUGCUAGUUGGGGAGGUUAAGUCUCACCAAGGCGCCGAUCAGUAGAUGGUCUGAGAGGACGAUUAGCCCCCCUGGGACUUGAACACGGCCCCGACUCCUACGGGAGGCAGCAGUGGGGAAUUUUGGACAAUGGGCGAAAGCCUGAUCCAGCAAUGCCGCGUGUGUUGAAGAGGCCUUCGGGUUGUAAAGCCCUUUUGUCCGGAAAGAAAUGGCUCUGGUUAAUACCUGGGGUCGGUGACGGUAACGGAAGAAUAAGGACCGGCUAACUACGUG
rnacentral:rRNA from 1 species